GAUGAACGCUGGCGGCGUGCUUAACACAUGCAAGUCGAACGGAAAGGCUCCUACUUGCUGCGGUACUCGAGUGGCGAACGCGGGAGUAACACGUGGGUGAUCUGCCCUGCACUUCGGGAUAAGCCUGGGAAACUGGGUCUAAUACCGGAUAGCACGAUGGUUUGGAUGCCAUUCUGGAAAGUUUUUUCGGUGUGGGAUGGGCUCGCGGCUUAUCAGCUUGUUGGUGGAGGAAUGGCCUACCAAGGCGUCGGCGGGUAGCCGGCCUGAGAGGGGGUACGGGGACAUUGCGACUGAGAUACGCAGCAGAGUGCUACGGGGGGCAGCAGGGGGGAGCCUUGCACAGUGGGCGCACGCCUGAUGAGGCGACGCCGCGUGGGGGAAGACGGCCUUCGGGGAAUGAACAGCUGUCGCUAGAGACGCAGCGCAAGUGACGGUACCUGGAGAAGAAGCACCGGCUAACUUCGUG
rnacentral:rRNA from 1 species